rnacentral:rRNA from 1 species
GNAUGCAUGGGCGCAGCCUGGAUCCAGCCAUGCCGCGGGGAGUGAUGAAGGCCUUCGGGUUGUAAAGCUCUUUUGUCCGGGACGAAAAUGUUCGGGCUAAUACGAGUGAGCCCAUGACGGUACCGUGAGAAUAAGCACCGGCUAACUACGUGCCAGCAGCCGCGGUAAUACGA